rnacentral:rRNA from 1 species
UACGGGGGGGGCAAGCGUUGUUCGGAAUUACUGGGCGUAAAGGGCUCGUAGGCGGCCAACUAAGUCAGACGUGAAAUCCCUCGGCUUAACCGGGGAACUGCGUCUGAUACUGGAUGGCUUGAGUUCGGGAGAGGGAUGCGGAAUUCCAGGUGUAGCGGUGAAAUGCGUAGAUAUCUGGAGGAACACCGGUGGCGAAGGCGGCAUCCUGGACCGAGACUGACGCUGAGGAGCGAAAGCCAGGGGAGCAAAGCGGG